rnacentral:lncRNA from 1 species
UUCCUGGAAACCCCACCAGAUGACAGCUCCAGUAUCUCCAAAGCAACCCGUCACUGCAGAGGAGGCUGGGAGAAUUGGCCUCUGAGCUGGGCACAUUGCUCCCCCAGGUAAUCCCUUCUUCUCACAGUGCUGUGAGGGUUACUGGACAAGUGUGCACAGAAUGUGUGAAAGACCUCUGGGACAGGCCCUGACCCGAGGUCAGCACUCAGUCAACAGCAGCUUGGAAUACGUGAUCACAGCCCAGCCCAGAGAGGGAACCAAGGAGGAUACAGAUCAUAGGAUUAAUCCCUUGCAUUUGUCAAGUGUUUCACACUGUGGAAGGAGCACUCACUCACAACCGUCUUUGCAUCUGAGCCUCACUUCAGCACUUUAGGAAUGAGAGGAUGGAGAGUUUUUAACUUUUAAGUUCAGGGGUUACAAGUGCAGAUUUGUUGUAUAGGUAAACCCAUGUCUUGAGGGUUUGUUGUACAGAUUAUUUUGUCACCCAGAUACUAAGCCUAGCACCUAUUAGUUAUUUUCCCCUGCUCCUGUCCCUCCUCCCACCCUCCACCCUCCAACAGGCCCCAGUAUGUGUUGUUCCCCCUUUGGGUCCAUGUGUUCUCAUCAUU